rnacentral:lncRNA from 1 species
GGAUGAGGGAGGAGAGGCACGGUUCCUCUGAUUUUCAGCCGAGAGAGGGAUGAGGAAGAUUUUGGCCGGGUCUCUCUCGGAGCAAAAAAAAUUCAAGCGGGAGGAGGGCUGCCUUGGCUUUUUCUGGUUUCGGCUUUGAAGAUGAGUAAAAAUGGGGAAAUGGAGAUGGCUAGCUUUGGCUGUGUAUGGGAAUGGGUGGUCAUUGGCUCUGUGAGAAGAAGACUGGAGGCGAAGAAAUUCAAAACCAGUUAGGGAAAGGGGGGGUUGCAGCGUUGGAAAAAA